GUGCCAGCCGCCGCGGUAAUUCCAGCUCCAAUAGCGUAUAUUAAAGUCGUUGUGGUUAAAAAGCUCGUAGUUGAACCUUGGGCCUGGCUGGCCGGUCCGCCUCACCGCGUGCACUGGUCCGGCCGGGCCUUUCCCUCUGUGGAACCCCAUACCCUUCACUGGGCGUGGCGGGGAAACAGGACAUUUACUUUGAAAAAAUUAGAGUGCUCCAGGCAGGCCUAUGCUCGAAUACAUUAGCAUGGAAUAAUAAAAUAGGACGCGCGGUUCUAUUUUGUUGGUUUAUAGGACCGCCGUAAUGAUUAAUAGGGACAGUCGGGGGCAUCAGUAUUCAACUGUCAGAGGUGAAAUUCUUGGAUCAGUUGAAGACUAACUACUGCGAAAGCAUUUGCCAAGGAUGUUUUCAUUAAUCAGGAACGAAAGUUAGGGGAUCGAAGACGAUCAGAUACCGUCGUAGUCUUAACCAUAAACUAUGCCGACUAGGGAUCGGACGGUGUUAUUCAUGACCCGUUCGGCACCUUACGAGAAAUCAAAGUGCUUGGGCUCCAGGGGGAGUAUGGUCGCAAGGCUGAAACUUAAAGAAAUUGACGGAAGGGCACCACCAGGGGUGGAGCCUGCGGCUUAAUUUGACUCAACACGGGGAAACUCACCAGGUCCAGACACAUAAGGACUGACAGAUUGAGAGCUCUUUCUUGAUUUUGUGGGUGGUGGUGCAUGGGCCGUCUAGUUGGUGGGGUGACUGUCUGCUUAAUGCGAUAACGAACGAGACCUUAACCUGCUAAAUAGCCCGCAUUGCUUCGGCAGUGCGCUGGCUUCUUUAGAA
rnacentral:rRNA from 1 species